UAGGGAAUCUUCCGCAAUGGGCGAAAGCCUGACGGAGCAACGCCGCGUGAGUGAUGAAGGUCUUCGGAUCGUAAAACUCUGUUAUUAGGGAAGAACAAAUGUGUACGUAACUAUGCACGUCUUGACGGUACCUAAUCAGAAAGCCACGGCUAACUACGUGCCAGCAGCCGCGGUAAUACGUAGGUGGCAAGCGUUAUCCGGAAUUAUUGGGCGUAAAGCGCGCGUAGGCGGUUUUUUAAGUCUGAUGUGAAAGCCCACGGCUCAACCGUGGAGGGUCAUUGGAAACUGGAAAACUUGAGUGCAGAAGAGGGAAGUGGAAUUCCAUGUGUAGCGGUGAAAUGCGCAGAGAUAUGGAGGAACACCAGUGGCGAAGGCGACUUUCUGGUCUGUAACUGACGCUGAUGUGCGAAAGCGUGGGGAUCAAACAGG
rnacentral:rRNA from 1 species